CUCAGAUUGAACGCUGGCGGCAGGCCUAACACAUGCAAGUCGAGCGGAUGAAGGAGCUUGCUCCUGGAUUCAGCGGCGGACGGGUGAGUAAUGCCUAGGAAUCUGCCUGGUAGUGGGGGAUAACGUCCGGAAACGGGCGCUAAUACCGCAUACGUCCUGAGGGAGAAAGUGGGGGAUCUUCGGACCUCACGCUAUCAGAUGAGCCUAGGUCGGAUUAGCUAGUUGGUUGGGUAAAGGCCUACCAAGGCGACGAUCCGUAACUGGUCUGAGAGGAUGAUCAGUCACACUGGAACUGAGACACGGUCCAGACUCCUACGGGAGGCAGUAGUGGGGAAUAUUGGACAAUGGGCGAAAGCCUGAUCCAGCCAUGCCGCGUGUGUGAAGAAGGUCUUCGGAUUGUAAAGCACUUUAAGUUGGGAGGAAGGGCAGUAAGUUAAUACCUUGCUGUUUUGACGUUACCAACAGAAUAAGCACCGGCUAACUUCGUGCCAGCAGCCGCGGUAAUACGAAGGGUGCAAGCGUUAAUCGGAAUUACUGGGCGUAAAGCGCGCGUAGGUGGUUCAGCAAGUUGGAUGUGAAAUCCCCGGGCUCAACCUGGGAACUGCAUCCAAAACUACUGAGCUAGAGUACGGUAGAGGGUGGUGGAAUUUCCUGUGUAGCGGUGAAAUGCGUAGAUAUAGGAAGGAACACCAGUGGCGAAGGCGACCACCUGGACUGAUACUGACACUGAGGUGCGAAAGCGUGGGGAGCAAACAGGAUUAGAUACCCUGGUAGUCCACGCCGUAAACGAUGUCGACUAGCCGUUGGGAUCCUUGAGAUCUUAGUGGCGCAGCUAACGCGAUAAGUCGACCGCCUGGGGAGUACGGCCGCAAGGUUAAAACUCAAAGGAAUUGACGGC
rnacentral:rRNA from 1 species